rnacentral:rRNA from 1 species
CUACGUGCCAGCAGCCGCGGUAAUACGGAAGGUCCAGGCGUUAUCCGGAUUUAUUGGGUUUAAAGGGAGUGUAGGCGGUUUGUUAAGCGUGUUGUGAAAUUUAGGUGCUCAACAUUUAACUUGCAGCGCGAACUGUCAGACUUGAGUACACGCAACGUAUGCGGAAUUCAUGGUGUAGCGGUGAAAUGCUUAGAUAUCAUGAAGAACUCCGAUUGCGAAGGCAGCAUACGGGAGUGUAACUGACGCUUAAGCUCGAAGGUGCGGGUAUCGAACAGGAUUAGAUACCCUGGUAGUCCGCACAGUAAACGAUGGAUGCCCGCUGUUAGCGCCUGGCGUUAGCGGCUAAGSGAAAGCAUUAAGCAUCCCACCUGGGGAGUACGCCGGCAACGGUGAAACUCAAAGGAAUUGACGGGGGCCCGCACAAGCGGAGGAACAUGUGGUUUAAUUCGAUGAUACGCGAGGAACCUUACCCGGGCUUGAAUUGCAGAGGAAUUAUUUAGAGAUA